rnacentral:sRNA from 1 species
GGUGUCCGCCCGCCCUCGGCUCCUCCGCCGUGAUGCUGUCCCGGUCCCGCUGUGUGUCCCGGGCGUUCAGCCGCUCGCUCUCCGCCUUCCAGAAGGGGAACUGCCCUCUAGGGAGACGUUCCCUGCCUGGGGUCUCCUUAUGCCAGGGACCAGGUUACCCUAACAGCAGGAAGGUUGUCAUUAACAACAGUGUCUUCAGUGUUCGCUUUUUCAGAACUACAGCUGUAUGCAAGGAUGACUUGGUUACAGUCAAAACCCCAGCGUUUGCAGAAUCUGUCACAGAGGGAGAUGUCAGGUGGGAGAAAGCUGUUGGAGACACAGUUGCAGAAGAUGAAGUAGUUUGUGAGAUUGAAACUGACAAGACAUCUGUGCAGGUUCCAUCACCAGCAAAUGGCGUGAUUGAAGCUCUUUUGGUACCUGAUGGGGGAAAAGUCGAAGGAGGCACUCCACUUUUCACACUCAGGAAAACUGGUGGUAAAGAAGUUCUCCUGGUGGUCGAGGUCUCCAGUGUUCCCUCUUGGGAUUGGGACUGAGCAUAAUGUGCUAAUUCCCCGAUAUGUCAAAGACUCUGUCAUUCCAGCUGCCCUUAGUUGAGGGAAUAAGGGGUAAAUUUAUAUAUAGUGUGAACUUUAAAUGUCAAAUUCUAAAAGAAAAGUUUAUUUUUUAAAAAAUAAACCUUAUACUCUGUUCUUUCCAUGGGUGUUUCUUAGCAGGAGCUGAGAAACUGGACCUUUUCUUAUAGAUAUACAGAUUGAGCAUACCUAAUCUGAAAAUUCAAAAUCUGAAAUGCUCCAAAACUGAAAAAUCCAAAAUCUGAAAUGCUUCAAAACUUUUUGAGCACUGACAGAAUGCUCAAAGGAAAUGCUCAUUGUCUUUUAUGGGGAAUUCAGUGUUGUUUCUUUUCACAUCUAUUCUCUCAUAUCUCUAGGAAGGGUUGGUAUUUCUUUUGGGAAGAAAUGAGAAACGAAUUUGUACUGGACCUUAUAGGAUUAGAGAUUAAUAACUUUAUCUGACUCUUAGUUAAAUUUUAUAACCACUAAAAAGUCUAUUUCUUUUUCCUAAGCGAGAAUCGUACCCGUAGACCAACGAGUCACAGAAGUCUAUUUCUUUUUCACUGUUACACUAAUAAGGCAGAUAGACCGCAUGAUUGAGGUUAGUCAGGCAAGACCAGAAGCUCAGAGUAGAAAACAUGUAUGGUAGAAGGCUGGGAAAUAAGGUAGUCCUCCUGUUGCAGAAGUUUGUCUUAGCACUAACCCUGGAUAUAAUGUCCAGAUGGGUGAAAAACAGAAACAAACAUUUCAUUUAAAGUUGUGAGAUUAUUACUUGGCCACCUCAGUGAUUUAUGAGUCAUCCUGGAUGAAGUGC